UACCCACUUCAGUGAAGAGCCAGUGAAUCAGUGUACAGAAAGCUCUUGGAACACGGGCUGUGACAGAGCUGACAUUUACUGAGCGAUUUAUUCAUUCCAUGAAGAAGCCGUGAUCAAUCCGAACGUUUGGAUGCCACACUCCCAUGAGAGCCACCAAGGACUCAGAGGGAGACACAUCAGCUCCCCAAACAUGAGCUGGUUCUGUGUUUCUCGCCGAGACUGGGCGAUCUCCACAUCAUCGCGGGAGGAUGAAGGUGAAGCUAUGUGAGUGACUCCUAAGGCGAAGGGCUCAAGCCUUGUAGUGUGAAUUCUCCAUCAGUGACCUUCCCGCUGUUUUAUCUGAAGACGGCUGACUCCGAUGGCGGAACUGCUUUCUGACAGAAGCUCUAGAGGAAACGAAUGCCUGGGUUGUCUUCAUCCCUCCAGGACAAAGGACUUGUUCGCAAGCAUCUCCGGCUGCUGGUGGGCUGAGCUGCCGUUGAGUGAUGGAGCAUGGCUGCCCCAUGCGUGGCAUCUCCACGGCUGCCCGUUCCGGGGACUCAGUGCCCAGGCAAUUAUUACUGGAGUGCUUGCUCUGUUUCAGGACUGACAGCCCAGGAAAAAGGCAUCACAUAAAUGCAGAGGUCACCUUGCAAAAACUAAACCCACGUUGAAUGUUAAAUAGUCCCAUUGUCAGAAGUGAGAACUCUAAAUUGCAUUUUUAUCGAAACAAAAACAAAAGGUAGAUGUGAUUCCACUUUGCUCUCUGAGGUCUCCCAUUUCUUUAGAUGAGGAGGGAAGACGUUUGUCUUUGUGCUACAUCUUGGACACGGGUUUGUUUUCUUAAAGGGAAAGAGCUGGACUAUAUGCACAGUCAGAAAAACAUUUAAAUUACGCAUUUAUUGCAAAGUAGAAAUAUUCUUACAAUAACAGUAAGUAAAAAGAGGAACACAGGGUAAAAAGGGGAAAAGCAGUAAAGGAACAUAGUCCUUGCUUAUUAGAAGGAAACAACCUCAUCCAUCUGACACUUAUCCCGGGAAGACAAGGUUUGGAGAAAUUUGCGUCCUAGGCCCUGAUAAGGACCAGUGGAUCCCCCUUCCAUCUUUUUAAAGAGCCCACCUGGUAUUCCCCAACGCAGUUUACUGUGUCCAGGUGGUUUAAAGAUUUUUUUAAGGCAACGUGGGUUUUGCAAUGAGGUUUAUGCGGCAUGAACUCGCGGGCCGCUUGUUGCGUGCUGUGCUCUGCAUCUGCUCUGUCCCCAGCCAGGCCUUUCUGGUUCCUGGAAGCCCUAGAAGAGCUGGAAGCUGGAGGCAAUGGCCUGGUUGCCCAGUCCUGACAGGAACAAUUGGUUUCAGUCGCCGCCUGCCUGGGAAUGUGGUUUGGUGGAGGAAGAGAGGGAGGUGGGCGGGCGGGGUAGGAGGCCUCUGGAGCCAGCCCUCCGAGGGCCAGAGAGCCCCCCCACGCUCCCCUCCCCUUUCGCUCUGCCUCCAUCCCCGUGGCCUCAGAG